AUAAACAAACUAGAGGCUCUAAAGAGCCUGUGUCGCUCACCUUGGUCUUGUGCAUAUUAAAUAAUGGACACGGAUAAAUUCAUGAUAUAAUUGUGUUUUGGUGAUAGUGAUGUGUUUGUAGAUCUUACUUUACUGAACAUUCUUGUUGCUACAAAUAUCUCUGUCUAUAAUGAACUUGGCCCAGUAAUUACAGUGGAAAAUAUUUUCUACAAAUUUACAAAAAUUUAUGAAAAAUGUUAAAAAUUAACUAUAAAGGGCAAUAACUCCUUAAGGGGUCAAUUGACUAUUUUGGUCAUGCAAACUUAUUUGUAGGGCUUAUUUUGCUGAACAUUAUUGCUGUAUACAGUUUAUCUCUAUCUAUAAUAAUAUUCAAGAUAAUAACAAAAAACGGCAAAAUUUCCUUAAAAUUACCAAUUCAGGACAGUAACCUAACAACAGGUUGUCCGAUCCAUGUGAAAACAUCAGGGCAGAUAGAUCUUGACCUGAUAAACAAUUAAACCCUGUCAGAUUUUCUCUUAAUGCUUCGGUUUUUUGAGUUAUAAGCCAAAAACUGCAUUUUACCCCUAUGUUCUAUUAUUAGCCGUGGCAGCCAUUUUGGUUGAUUGGCCAGGUCACGCCACACAUUUUUUAAACAAAUUACCCCAAUGAUGAUUGUGGCAAAUCUUAGUUUAAUUUGGCCCAGUAGUUUCAGAGAAGAAGAUUUUUGUAAAAGAUAACUAAGAUUUACGAAAAAAUGGUUUAAAAAUUGACUAUAAAGGGCAAUAACUCCUUCAGGGGUCAACUGACCAUUUUGGUCAUGUUGACUUAUUUGUAAAUCUUACUUUGCUGAACAUUAUUGCUGUUUACCGUUUAUCUCUAUCUAUAAUAAUAUUCAAGAUAAUAACCAAAAACAGCAAAAUUUCCUUAAAAUUACCAAUUCAGGGGCAGCAACCCAACAACAGGUUGUCCGAUUCAUCUGAAAAUUUCAGGACAGGUAGAUCUUGACCUGAUAAACACUUUUACCGCUGUCAGAUUUGCUCUAAAUGCUUUGGUUUUU
rnacentral:lncRNA from 1 species